ACUUUAUUGAGCGAAUGAAUGGUGAUUCGCCAUAAUGGCGCGGUAGUACCUUUAGAGUUCACCCACCGUGAGCUCUUGUCCUAAGCGUGUCAGGCAUCCCUGAAAGGAGAUAAGAUUAUGCUGAGAAGCUUUUUGGAUAUUCAGAGAGUAGCGAAGCUUCAGAAGGUACAAGUUAUUCAUGGAUGCACAGAUGAGUUUUUUGGAGAUUUCGAUACCAGAAAUUCAGCUUGAAGUAGCGUCUGUGUGCUAUUCCAAAUCAAUAGAAAAAUGGCUUAGAUACGAAAAUGUAUCGUGUUUAGUCAAAAUCACAACCCAAUAAGAAAGUAUAUGAAAUUUUGAAAUGUUCUAUAUAUAUAUAUCAAGGAAAAAUAAUAUUAUUCUAAUGAAAAUAAACGCUGUUUUUUGUAAAGGUGUAA